rnacentral:rRNA from 1 species
ACAACUUUCAACAACGGAUCUCUUGGCUCUCGCAUCGAUGAAGAACGCAGCGAAAUGCGAUAAGUAAUGUGAAUUGCAGAAUUCAGUGAAUCAUCGAAUCUUUGAACGCACCUUGCGCCCCUUGGUAUUCCGAGGGGSAUGCCUGUUUGAGUGUCAUUAA